GACGAACGCUGGCGGCGUGCCUAAUACAUGCAAGUCGAACGGUCUUUUCUAUGGAAGCUUGCUUCCACUGAGAAGAUAGUGGCGAACGGGUGAGUAACACGUGGGUAACCUGCCCAUAAGAGGGGGAUAACAUCCGGAAACGGGUGCUAAUACCGCAUAGUUUUCUUGAUCGCAUGAUCGAGAAAGGAAAGACGGCCUUUGUGCUGUCGCUUAUGGAUGGACCCGCGGCGUAUUAGUUAGUUGGUGAGGUAACGGCUGACCAAGACGAUGAUACGUAGCCGAGCUGAGAGGGUGAUCGGCCACAUUGGGACUGAGACACGGCCCCAACUCGUACGGGAGUCAGCAGUAGGGAAUCUUCCACAAUGGACGAAAGUCUGAUGGAGCAACGCCGCGUGAGCGAUGAAGGUCUUCGGGUCGUAAUGCUCUGUUGUUAGGGAAGAACAAGUACCGGAGUAACUGCCGAUACCUUGACGGUACCUAACCAGAAAGCCACGGCUAACUACGUGCCAGCCGCCGCGGUAAAAC
rnacentral:rRNA from 1 species